rnacentral:rRNA from 1 species
UGGGGAAUAUUGGACAAUGGGGGCAACCCUGAUCCAGCGAUGCCGCGUGAGUGAAGAAGGCCUGCGGGUUGUAAAGCUCUUUUAGUGGGGAAGAUAAUGACGGUACCCACAGAAUAAGCACCGGCUAACUCUGUGCCAGCAGCCGCGGUAAUACAGAGGGUGCUAGCGUUGUUCGGAAUUACUGGGCGUAAAGGGCGCGUAGGCUGGAUAUUAAGUCAUUUGUGAAAUCCCUGAGCUUAACUUAGGAAUUGCAAGUGAUACUGAUAUUCUAGAGAUUGAUAGAGGAAAGAGGAAUUCCCAGUGUAGAGGUGAAAUUCGUAGAUAUUGGGAGGAACACCAGUAGCGAAGGCGACUUUCUGGGUCAAAUCUGACGCUGAGGCGCGAAAGCGUGGGGAUCAAA